rnacentral:rRNA from 1 species
CCAAAAUUACAGCCCCCCAUAUAAUUAACACCUCAACAGAUAAACUAAAAUAUUUUCACAAUCUAGUAAAGAUGAUUAAAAAAUUUGUCGGAGCUUCACGUACCGCAAGGGCCCCAUGAAAUAGUUCUGAAAUAGUCCUAAAGCAAAACAAAGUAGAGAUUUAACCUCGUACCUUGUGCAUCAUGAUUUAACUAGUCUAAUUAAGCAAAAAGACCUUAAAGUUUAACAUCCCGAAACUAAGUGAGCUACUUCAGGGCUGCUUAAUGAGCGAACCCGUCUCUGUUGCAAAAGAGUGGGAGGACCUUGAAGUAGAGGUGAUAUACCUAUCGAACUUAGUGAUAGCUGGUUGCUUGCGAAAGGAAUCUUAGUUCAACCUAGAGUCACCCCAAUACCUUAAAUAACCCCAAGACUCUAGAGCUAUUCAAAUAAGGUACAGCCUAUUUGAAACAGGAUACAACCUAGACUAACGGGCAAUUUCACAUCUAAGGCAGCCUAGUGGGCCUAAGAGCAGCCACCUUAAAACAGCGUCAAACCUUAACUGUCCAUUCACCCCAAUUUCAAACCCCACAACAAACCCUUUACCCAUACCAAGCACUUCUAUGCCUUCCCAUAGAAAAUUUUAUGUUAAAACUAGUAACAAGAAGAAAACCAUUCUCUAUAAUGCAAAUUUAAAUCAGAAAGGACCCACCACUGAUACUUACACAGCCCUAAGCCCAUAGUAGUAACCCAACAGGAAAAACCUACUCCGCUACUCUGUUAACCUAACACAAGAGCAUUACAAGAAAGAUUAAAAGAAAAAGAAGGAACUCGGCAAACACUAGCCCCGCCUGUUUACCAAAAACAUCGCCUCUUGACAAAAAUAAGAGGUCCAGCCUGCCCAGUGACAUCAGUUUAACGGCCGCGGUAUCCUAACCGUGCGAAGGUAGCGUAAUCACUUGUUUUUUAAAUAAAGACUAGUAUGAAAGGCAUCACGAGGGUCAAACUGUCUCCUUUCUCCAAUCAGUGAAACUAAUCUUCCCGUGAAGAAGCGGGAAUUAAUCUAUAAGACGAGAAGACCCCAUGGAGCUUUAAACUUACGGCAAUUGCCCUUACUUUUAUACUUCUCAUGAACAUAAACACCCGGCGCUUUGACUAAGAGUUUUAGGUUGGGGCGACCGCGGAGUAAAACUCAACCUCCAUGUUGUAUAAAAUUUUUUUACCAAAAAGCCACACCUUUAAGGAUCAACAAAUUGACAUUUAUUGACCCACCUGUAUGAUCAACGAACCAAGUUACCCUGGGGAUAACAGCGCAAUCCACUUCGAGAGCUCAUAUCGACAAGUGGGCUUACGACCUCGAUGUUGGAUCAGGGUAACCCAGUGGUGCAGCAGCUACUUAAGGUUCGUUGUCAACGAUA